rnacentral:rRNA from 1 species
AGAGUUUGAUCCUGGCUCAGGACGAACGCUGGCGGCGUGCCUAAUACAUGCAAGUAGAACGCUGAAGAGAGGAGCUUGCUCUUCUUGGAUGAGUUGCGAACGGGUGAGUAACGCGUAGGUAACCUGCCUUGUAGCGGGGGAUAACUAUUGGAAACGAUAGCUAAUACCGCAUAACAAUGGAUGACCCAUGUCAUUUAUUUGAAAGGGGCAAAUGCUCCACUACAAGAUGGACCUGCGUUGUAUUAGCUAGUAGGUGAGGUAACGGCUCACCUAGGCGACGAUACAUAGCCGACCUGAGAGGGUGAUCGGCCACACUGGGACUGAGACACGGCCCAGACUCCUACGGGAGGCAGCAGUAGGGAAUCUUCGGCAAUGGGGGCAACCCUGACCGAGCAACGCCGCGUGAGUGAAGAAGGUUUUCGGAUCGUAAAGCUCUGUUGUAAGUCAAGAACGAGUGUGAGAGUGGAAAGUUCACACUGUGACGGUAGCUUACCAGAAAGGGACGGCUAACUACGUGCCAGCAGCCGCGGUAAUACGUAGGUCCCGAGCGUUGUCCGGAUUUAUUGGGCGUAAAGCGAGCGCAGGCGGUUUGAUAAGUCUGAAGUCAAAGGCUGUGGCUCAACCAUAGUUCGCUUUGGAAACUGUCAAACUUGAGUGCAGAAGGGGAGAGUGGAAUUCCACGUGUAGCGGUGAAAUGCGUAGAUAUAUGGAGGAACACCGGUGGCGAAAGCGGCUCUCUGGUCUGUAACUGACGCUGAGGCCCGAAAGCGUGGGGAGCGAACAGGAUUAGAUACCCUGGUAGUCCACGCCGUAAACGAUGAGUGCUAGGUGUUGGAUCCUUUCCGGGAUUCAGUGCCGCAGCUAACGCAUUAAGCACUCCGCCUGGGGAGUACGACCGCAAGGUUGAAACUCAAAGGAAUUGACGGGGGCCCGCACAAGCGGUGGAGCAUGUGGUUUAAUUCGAAGCAACGCGAAGAACCUUACCAGGUCUUGACAUCCCGAUGCUAUUUCUAGAGAUAGAAAGUUACUUCGGUACAUCGGUGACAGGUGGUGCAUGGUUGUCGUCAGCUCGUGUCGUGAGAUGUUGGGUUAAGUCCCGCAACGAGCGCAACCCCUAUUGUUAGUUGCCAUCAUUCAGUUGGGCACUCUAGCGAGACUGCCGGUAAUAAACCGGAGGAAGGUGGGGAUGACGUCAAAUCAUCAUGCCCCUUAUGACCUGGGCUACACACGUGCUACAAUGGUUGGUACAACGAGUUGCGAGUCGGUGACGGCAAGCUAAUCUCUUAAAGCCAAUCUCAGUUCGGAUUGUAGGCUGCAACUCGCCUACAUGAAGUCGGAAUCGCUAGUAAUCGCGGAUCAGCACGCCGCGGUGAAUACGUUCCCGGGCCUUGUACACACCGCCCGUCACACCACGAGAGUUUGUAACACCCGAAGUCGGUGAGGUAACCUUUUGGAGCCAGCCGCCUAAGGUGGGAUAGAUGAUUGGGGUGAAGUCGUAACAAGGUA